rnacentral:tRNA from 1 species
CAGAAAUUAGUUAAUCAAUAAUAUAAACUUGUCAUGUUUAAGUAAUCUUCUAGAUAUUUCUGA